UACGAAGGGGGCUAGCGUUGCUCGGAAUUACUGGGCGUAAAGCGCACGUAGGCGGCUCUUUAAGUCGGAGGUGAAAUCCUGGAGCUCAACUCCAGAACUGCCUUCGAUACUGAAGAGCUCGAGUCCGGGAGAGGUGAGUGGAACUGCGAGUGUAGAGGUGAAAUUCGUAGAUAUUCGCAAGAACACCGGUGGCGAAGGCGGCCAACUGGACCAUUACUGACGCUGAGGCGCGAAAGCGUGGGGAGCAAACAGG
rnacentral:rRNA from 1 species